GGGGAUGUAAAGGUUUCGACGGGGAUUUCAAACCUUGGUAAGCGAGCGGCGGUGCGGAACCGCCAUAAAAUCCGCAACUUUAAAAUUAACUGACAACAAAACAGUUGCUUUAGCAGCCUGAGUGCUGCUCGUUCCUGCACAGAGUACCUCGGCUGUGUAAGGGGCGUCGAUUAGAGGUAAAUGUGAACAGGGGAGCGCUCCGAACCCUGUCACAGCUUAGGAGCUGCCAAAGUGCAUAGCCUGUUGAUGGGCGAUGCACCGAGGGAGAUUUAAAACACCAACUGCGCUCGGAGAAACCCUUGGCAAGAUUUUUUCGGACAGGGGUUCGACUCCCCUCAUCUCCACCA
rnacentral:tmRNA from 1 species